rnacentral:rRNA from 1 species
UACAGAGGGUGCAAGCGUUGUUCGGAAUUACUGGGCGUAAAGGGCGCGUAGGCGGCCCGCUAAGUCGAACGUGAAAUCCCCGAGCUCAACUCGGGAACUGCGUCCGAUACUGGCGGGCUUGAAUCCGGGAGAGGGAUGCGGAAUUCCAGGUGUAGCGGUGAAAUGCGUAGAUAUCUGGAGGAACACCGGUGGCGAAGGCGGCAUCCUGGACCGGCAUUGACGCUGAGGCGCGAAAGCCAGGGGGAGCAAACGGG